UACGUAGGAUCCGAGCGUUAUCCGGAUUUAUUGGGUUUAAAGGGUCCGCAGGCGGGAGAUUAAGUCGGCGGUGAAAUUUUGCAGCUCAACUGUAAAAGUGCCUUCGAAACUGGUUUCCUUGAGUGUGGAUGAAGUAGGCGGAAUUUGUGGUGUAGCGGUGAAAUGCUUAGAUAUCACGAGGAACUCCGAUUGCGCAGGCAGCUUACUAAACUACUACUGACGCUCAGGCACGAAGGCGUGGGGAUCAAACAGGAUUAGAUACCCUGGUAGUCCCU
rnacentral:rRNA from 1 species